rnacentral:snoRNA from 1 species
UUUCCCUGGCAAUGGGCAAAGAGGCACCUUGGUGGUGGUGGUGGUGUUCCUCUAUCAGUCAGGGGCAGAACAGAUGGCAGUCCUUUGUUCAUCCUAGCUUGAUGCCUGGCUUGGUAACUGAUGCUGUUUUAUGCCCAGGACUCAUAA